UCAUCGUCUAGUGAGAAACAGUGGGUGAACCAUCAAUGAAUCGAUAGGUAGGAAAGUUUUGAGGCGUCAUUCUUAAAAAGGGUUAGAAACAGGUGCUUACCAGCAUGCCCAACAUAGUUAAAAUCCAGUCUUUCAAGUAAAGCUCUAAUGCCACUCUGCUGUCAGACAUGUCAGAUUCUAAUUGACUGGUUGCAGAAGUGGUAUGCAUAUAAAGUGGCAUUAAGGCCUUGCAGACAGACUUAACAAUAACAUGCUGAAGUUGCAAUUAGAGUUUGACGAAGGCUCACUUGUAAUCCCUUACUAACAGAUUUUGCUUUGGUAUAUAAUGGCAAGUUGGGAUCAGAAACUUUGUACAGCUGCAAAGGAGGGGAAAAUAAACGAGGUAGAAUUAUGUGUAAAAAAUAGAGCUAAUUUGGAAUGUAGAGAUGAACUGUUGGGAAGGACACCAUUAAUGCUGGCCGCUGAGGGAGGACACCUGGAGGUGGUGACUCACCUGGUCACUCAAGGCAGUCAGUUAAACGCCACAGAGGAG